ACCCAAGCAUUCAGGGGAGGUCAACCAAGUAGGGCUGUAAGGGACUCCCACCAGCAAGCUUUUUGCUUGCUUCUCCCUUCUGCUCAAGUGUGAUGGGGCGGCGCUGGCAGGAGGAAACCUUUCUGAUAGAUUUUCUGUACUGGAGCACAUAAGUCCUGGGUGGUCCAAUCUGGGGAGACAUACGCAGAAGGAAUACCAAGCAGGGGCAUGAUGUGAGGGGGGUAGAGCCCCUGCGGGAGGACUAUGCCUGGUACUCCUCCCACAUCCCAAGUUCCAGAAGAGGGUCUGGGCACCGCAUUCACCCCUCAGCUCUUUGGUGGAGGAAGUACCACGGAUGGAGGAACUACCCGCCACCGCAACCGCCAAGAGCGCAGGCAGGAGGGACCAGUUUGGCCCUGCCCCUCAUUUUACAGUGUGUGGGGUGUUGAAGUCGGACGGACCCGGCGGUGGGAGCGAGGGCUUGGCAGAAGCGAGCCCGACUGCCAAAUGCUCCUUGUAUAGGUUUGACCUAUUGUCUUUGUUCCAUUCUUCUCAUUCUGUUCUGUGACCCUCGGGAAUUGUGUGAUGCUAAAUCAGGACCCAACCUGAUCUAAGUCCCUGGUGAGGAAACACCCAUCUCUGGGUGGGGCGGAAGGAACUGAGGGGAGAGGUGCUGGCCCCACCUACCUGGGAGAGUUUGCAGAAGAUGCCACAGAACUUGCCAAGGAGGUCUGGAAGAGCCCAGCUGGCCCGCCUGCCACCACUACCCCUCACCUCACCUCUAGGGGCAGGGCCUGCAGUAGGAAUCCGGCAAGUCCCUUUAACCUUCUUGCAGCUUAGUUUUUUACCUUUAAAAUGGGGUUAACGAGGCCUAGGGUUGUUGGGAAGCUCAAGUGAGACAACUGAUAUGAAAGUGUGAUAAUUCUUCUGAAUUCCUUUACCUCUUUUCUUCUGAUAUUCACACUUCCUCCUUCUCAUCUCAUUCCUGGGCUCAGAAGAGAAAUUGUCAAGCAAGAGAUGUUUUAGGAAUCAGGCAGAGCUGUUCCAAAUUCUGCCAUCAUCACUCAUGCAUUAUAGUUCACUCACCUCUGUACUUCAAUUUUCUCAUUUGUAAAAGAGCAUAUUAUUUUUAUUACUCAGCUCUUAGGUAAGUGUUUAGCCCCAAACCUGGUAGACAAUAAGCACCCACUAAGGGUCAGAAUGAUAGCCAUUAUCAUUAGCUGUUUUCCUUCUUUUAUUUUUUUCCUUCAACUGAAUGCUGUCUAAGUCAGCCAUAGGCUAGCUUCUAUGUUAGGUCUAAGAUCAGGCAGAGAUACAAGGAUAGAGAAGUGUCCUCUAUCUUUCUAUGUCCUCUUUUCUCUCUCUCUCUCUCUCUCUCUCUCUCUCUCUCUCUCUCUCUCUCUC